CUUCAAUUCUGUCAGACUCAUCCCCCCCCCAACCAUGCCACACUCACCCGUGAAUUAAUAACACAUGGGGGUGGUUUAAGUGACACAUGGAGGGGUUGUGGAGAGGGGGGGGGAGAUGAAUGUGGGGGCAGGGCAAUUUUCACACUGGGGCCCCGUGGUUUCUAGUUACACCUCUGUCUGGAUCUGAUUUUAAGCUCCAGCAAAUUGUAAAUGUAUUUCCUUCUUUUCAUCUUAAAUCACCAGCAAUGAAA